rnacentral:lncRNA from 1 species
AAUUGUCCACUAUGUGAUGAAAUUGAUGAAAUGUUGAAUCACCUAAUGCUGCAGCGUUCCUACUCCAGAACCUAUUGGCGCAUCAUCUUCUCUCCAUUUAGCUUACCCGACCUCCCUUAUUUUUUCACGAAUAUGCGGGUUUCCUGGAGACAUCCUUCUCAAGUCCAUUCACUGUACCCUACUCUUGAAUGCUUGCUUAUCACCUCGGUUUGGAGCUUAUGAAAAGAGUGUAAUGCUAGAGUUUUUCAUUUCAUCACCAACAUGCCUCCUGUAGCUGCUCAGAAAGCAAUCUCAAUCUAUCGCGAUUAGCUAGCCGACGUUCCACACCCCA